rnacentral:misc_RNA from 1 species
GUUGGUUAGAAGGUCCCGCAGUAGAUGUCGCCAUGGGCGGUAUCAUGAAGAACGCGCCAGGAACGACACCGUUAGACGGUAUGGCCCACAUAGGAACUAAACCCUGAGGAACUACUGCAGCUGCCUGUUGCGGUGGUGCUGUCGGUAUCGGGGCAAGAGGAGCGGAGACUGAAACGACAGCGUCGCUUACGUCAAUGUACNNGUACUCGCUAUUUGCGGGUCGUUUACGCUUCUUUUUAACGGAUGGGUCGCCGGGUUCGGAAUUUGCGUUAGAGGUGGUGGGGAUUUUGAGGGUCCCA